rnacentral:lncRNA from 1 species
CAUCAUCAACACCUUCAUUCUUCUUUGAAGGAAGAUCGUUAGAUUCAUCAAAGACAACAUGUAUUGACUCCUCUACUACUAAGGUUCUUUUGUUAAAAACUCUAAAAGCUUUACUAGUGGAGGAGUAACCAAGAAGGAUUGCUUCAUCUGAUUUUGCAUCAAAUUUUUCAAGUCUUUCUUUACCAUUAUUUAAUACAAAACAUCGGCA